GAGAAUUGAUGGGAUUUAGUGAGAAAAAUAAUGGUACAAGUAUUGAGAAGAUGAGUUGGUAAAAGGUAGUAAAGAGGGAAAUUAAUUUUGGUCAAGGGAAGGGAGAAGUGCGUGGGUUUUGGAUGUGGUAAAGAGGGAACAAAUGUUGAAAAUUCAUAUGAGGGUCUGCUAGGGUUUGAAAAACGUUUUGACCAAUAUUCACG
rnacentral:lncRNA from 1 species